AAGCAACGAAAGUUUCUCAAAUUUACCGUUUAACUGGAGCUGCGGGAUUCUGGGCUAAGCCUGUCGGUUUUUCUCGAACCGGGUGGAAGACGUAGUAAAAUGGGGUUUAAACGUAAAGAUGUCGGAGCUACUGGGCGGGCUACGUUUUGUGGCUUGGACUCUGCGAAGUGGAACGUGGCUUCUGCUGUAUCUUGGUGAGUCUCUGGGUUUUAACCGGCGGCAGUCGGGUCCUUCACCGCCUGCAGACCUGAUCGCAGAUCCGUGUAGUGAGUGACCGGAGCUCCGCGGCGGAUUCACAGUUGCAGGUCCGGCUGGGUUUUCCUUCUCCUGAACCGGUUUGCUGGAAGUCGCACCGACCGCUCUGUGUAGCUUCAACUGGGGGCGAACUCGUGACUUACUGGUAACAGACCGCAGGAAACUGCACCCAGCCGUGUGAGACCCGGUGUGAAGACUGAAA